rnacentral:lncRNA from 1 species
ACGAGUGAGCAGACAUCCAUGUGACUUCUCGUAUUGGUCAUGCUCAGUACUAGUUAUUCUCUAACAACCACCUGCACUCUCGCUCUAGUGUCACUACACCACAGACUCAAGACUCAUCUGUCUGAAGGAAGCGAUCCGUGCACUAGUCUAUCUGGAUCAAUCACCAUCUCCAUAAUGAUCUGAUCACUGUUGUAGGUGAUCAAGAAUAAAAACCAACUCAAACUAUAU